CCUACGGGAGGCAGCAGUGGGGAAUAUUGCACAAUGGGGGAAACCCUGAUGCAGCGACGCCGCGUGAGUGAUGAAGUAUUUCGGUAUGUAAAGCUCUAUCAGCAGGGAAGAUAAUGACGGUACCUGAUUAAGAAGCCCCGGCUAACUACGUGCCAGCAGCCGCGGUAAUACGUAGGGGGCAAGCGUUAUCCGGAUUUACUGGGUGUAAAGGGAGCGCAGACGGCAGGGCAAGUCUGAUGUGAAAGUCCGGGGCGCAACCCCGGGACUGCAUUGGAAACUGUCCGGCUAGAGUGCAGGAGAGGCAAGUGGAAGUCCUAGUGUAGCGGUGAAAUGCGUAGAUAUUAGGAGGAACACCAGUGGCGAAGGCGGCUUACUGGACUGUAACUGACGUUGAGGCUCGAAAGCGUGGGGAGCAAACAGGAUUAGAUACCCCAGUAGUC
rnacentral:rRNA from 1 species